GCCUGGCCCUACUUGGCUUCCUGGCCCCACCUGGCCCUGCUUAACUAGUGACCUGCUUCUACACAUCAGGGCAACUCAAUUCCCAGCAGCGGCAGCGGCAGCGGCAGCAGCGACAACACAGUGGUGGCAUCAGCUCUGUGAUGAGGGUGGAGCCUGUGCACCUCCCCGAUGGCCACAGCAAUGUUGGAGAGGAGGCUGCUGACACUGAGUGCCACCUGAGUGCUGGGUGUGGUGAAAAGACCUUGUGACAAGCAGCCCUGUGUACACCGUGAACACCAGUGAGCACCUCACGCAUUCGGCGCCAAGGCCCAGAGAACCCAGAAAAGGCCUGGCUGUGGAACUCGUGACCCUCUGGUUGGCUGCAGGGCUUUAGGACCUUCAGCUCACUCUGCUGCCAGCCAGGCCCAAGUCUUCCCUCUACAGGAUACCAGUUCAACACUGAAUUCUGCCUCGGGCUCCAGGAAAGUCGUGCUGCUCUGGGAGGAUGCCCCGCUGCUCCUUCUGCUGGCUCCUUGGUGAUUGAUAGUGCGGAGAGGUGGGGAGCAGCCGUCCCGCCCUAGCGCCCUAGCGCUCACUCCAGAAGAUUGAGA